CAAGCACACCGUCGUCCUGUCCUGCACGGUCCCUGAAUCAGACACAGCUCCUGAUGUCAGUCUGUGAUGUCAGUCUGUGAUACUACGCCUCAGUAACGUUACGUUGCCGUGGUGACGUCCUCGGGUUUAAAGGUCGGGAGUGAACUGCCGCCCCAAGUGAAGGAGGUCAAGAAUCGCAGGGUCUUGUUUACGAGUGAGGGGAACAUGGAGCGGCGGAUGGACCGCAGGAUCACGGCGGCGUCAGCAGUGAUGCAGCCGUCGUACCGGUCCGGUGUGGUGACGAGGGAGCUGAGCCACAAGGCAAAGCUUUCCAUGUACCAGUCGAGCUACAUUCAGACCCUCACCUGUGGUCAUGAACUCUGGGUAGUGACCGAAAGAAUGAGAUCUCAAAUACAAGUAGGGCGGCCGAGCUCAGCCUUAGAGAUGAGAUGAGGAGCUCGGAGUGGAGCCGCCGCUCCUUCGCGUCGAAAGGGCUCAGUUGAGGUUGUUUGGGCAUCUGGUCAGGACGUCAACUGGGCGCCUUCCUUUGGUGGUUUUCCGGACGUCCAACUGGGAGCAGACCUGGUGUAGACCUACAACUCGCUGGAGGAACUACAUAUCCCAUCUGGCCUGGGGGCGCUUCCCCAUGAGGAGCAGGAAAGCGUGGCUGGGGAGAGGGAUGUCUGCAACGCCCUGCACAGCCCCGCGACUCGGAUAAGCGGAAAAAAAUGGAUGGAUGGAUGAUCAUCUUUAUAUACAGUCAUUACUUUUCUUUUCAUACUUCACACUUUAUGCUUUGAGCACAUGAAGGCCUCCGCACAGAAACACUGUUGUCCUGUGAGUCGUCGGUGUGUUGAAUUAAAGCUUUGAAUGUUCUUUUAUAUGAUGAUGGAAGAGAUCGAUACUUGCUGGUUAUGAAACAGAUUUUUUUUUAUUGACAAAUCAAACUGUUUCAUUUUACACUUUGGUCACAAACAUGAAGCAGUUUUGUUCACUACAUGUCACAGCAGGUAACAUCUUCACUCCUUCACAGCCUGCUCCAAAAAAUUCCAGCGAUCAUUCCGGACAUCAUGGGGUUAUUGUAGUAGAGAACAAUCAAAAUGAUGACCAGGAUUA